rnacentral:rRNA from 1 species
AACGAACGCUGGCGGCAUGCCUAACACAUGCAAGUCGAACGAGACCAUCGGGUCUGGUGGCGCAUGGGGGCGUAGCGCGUGGGAACCUGCCCUUAGGUUUGGAAGAUCGCGCCGAAUGGGGUGCUAAUACCGGAUAAUGUCCUCCAACCAAAGAUUUAUCGCCUUUGGAUGGGCCGGGGUGGGAUCAGCUGGUUGGUAGGGUAAAAGCCUACAACGGCGAGGAUCCAUAGCUGGGUAGUGAGGAAGGGCAGCCACACUGGGACUAGGCAACGGCCCGGAAUCUUACGGGAGGGAGGAGUGGGUGAUAUAGGAAAGCGGGGGGAGGGAUGAAGGAGCUAUGCCGGGUGAGUAAUGAAGGCCGGAGGGAUGUAAAGCACUUUUACCCGGGAUGGUAAUGACGGUACCAGGAGAAUAAGCACCGGCUAACUUCGUG